UUAGUUAUUUCUUCUGUAGCAUCAACCUCCCCAGGUUAAUUUAUACAUUUAUUUUUUAACAAUAAAAAAUGUAAAUUAUCUUUAUUGAUUUAUUUAUUUCAUUUAGUUGUGUCAUCUGCAGCAUUGACCGUCCCAAUUGUUUUAACUGCUUCAUCCGCCACUUCUGCUGUUGCAUCGGCAUCAUUAGUUUCUUCAGGUAACUAAUUAUUUUAUUAUUUUUUAUUUUUUGCUUGGGUCAAACAUUUUCAAAUCUUUAUACUAGCAUGUCAAUAUUUUUAGAUAUUAAUGAAGUAUUAAGUAAGUUAUAUUGUAUUCAGAUUUCACUUUUUACUUUUAUUAAAUAACAAACUAAAUAAAAAGUUUUUUAUAUAUAUUUCAGCUCUAAGGCAACAGAUUGGUAAGCAAAAUUAUAUCAUAUGUUUUUAUCUCCCCAAAGCUUGGUAGGCUGUUAAGGAUGCUACUUUAAUUGUGUUUGCAUCCCUUUGUCAACUUAAUAUUAAAAUUUUGAAACACAAACAUUGUAAAACAAGGCCGCUGUGCUAAGAAACAAGUUAAGUGCGGUACUACCAGGUACAUUUGACAUUAUAACUAUACCACUAUUUACAAUAACCAUGUAAAGUAAUUAUAUUUAACAAUAAAUAAAAUUAUGUACUUACCAAUAUAUAAAUUUAUAUAUUUACCAGUGUUUAUCUUAUGAUUAAUAUUCUAAAUCUCAUUCAAGAUAUAUUUAAGGAAUUAUAUGAAGUUUUCAAGUUGUUUUUUUUUAAGUUCUUCUGCAAAGGCAAGUUGGUAAGUUGUACAUACUGAUUCUAUAUUUUUAAAGGAUAAUAUUUUUUUAUUUUAACAAUACUUUUAACAUUUUUAUAUAUAUCUUUGUUAUAUAUGUUGGGAAAAAAAAUUCAAAUGUUCGGUUAAUAGUUUUUUUUAUUGUCAAAAAACAAGUUGUCUUUUCUAAGUGUUUUUAUUUAUCUUUUAGCAAGAAAGACAAAUCUGUAGGUAUAUGUUUAUUAUGUUUAGGUAUACAAGCUAAAGCCCCAAACGGUAACUCUAUAUUCUUACUUACAACAGUAUUAUCUGCUUUAAUGAAGUAAAGACUUGACUAUAAAUAAAAGAAUUAAAAAAAAAUGAUGAAGAACUCUUUCUUUAUUCUAAUUUUGCUCCUUCAGUUAAAUUUAUUAAAGUAUAAACUAAUUUUUAUUUUUAAAACUUACAUAUGAAGAUUACAAGCGUUAUCGAGUUACCAAGCCUAACUCGAUAACGUACUGUUUUCCUACUUUUAAAGGAUUGCAUUUUUUCAUUUAACUUAACAAUAUUUUUUAACAUUUUUAUCUAUAUCUUUGUUAAGUAUGUUGAGAAAAAAAACGUUUGUUUAACAGUUUUUUUUUUAACUAGAUGAAUUAUUAACAGCCAGCUCUUCUUAUGGUGAAAUUUUAUUAUGUCUUUUCUAAGUGUUUUUAUUUAUCUUUUAGCAAGGAAGAAGAAUCUGUAGAUAUAUAUUUAUUAUGUUUAGGUGCUCAAGCUAAAGCACCAAACGGUAAUUCUAAAUUCUUGCUUACAAUAAUAUUAUCUGCUUUUAUGAAGUAAAGACUUGACUAUAAUAAAAAAAUUAAGUAAAAAUGAUUGAGAGCAUUUUUUUUAUUCUAAUUUUGCUCUUUCAGUUAAAAUUAUUAAAGUAUAAAUUAAUUUUUAUUUUUAGAACUAACAUAUGAAGAUUACAAAUGCUAUAGACAAAGCAAGCCUGGUCCUUUGACUCAAAGAUCGUUUCAAAGAUGGGUGCAGUAUGGGGGGUCAGACCACCCAUCAUUUAGAUAGGGUUCUUGAUACUCCCCAUACAGGGGUCGAAGGACCGGGGGAAUAAUAAAAAACUUUCAUGUCUACAAUUGAAAUAUUAGUAGACAUGAAAGUUUUUAU